rnacentral:rRNA from 1 species
AUACGUCGGGGACAAGCGUUAUCAGGAUUUACUGGGCGUAAAGGGCGUGUAGGCGGUCUUGCAAGUCAGAAGUGAAAUUCCGGAGCUUAACUCGGGCGCUGCUUCUGAAACUGCAGGACUUGAGUGAUGGAGGGGAUAGCGGAAUUCCUAGUGGUGCGGUAAAAUGCGCAGAUAUAAGGAAGAACACCAGUGGCGAAGGCGGUCUACUGGACAGUAACUGACGCUGAGGCGCGAAAGCGUGGGGAGCAAACAGGAUUAGAUACCCUGGUAGUCCACGCUGUAAACGAUGCAUACUAGGUGUGGGGGGACUGACCCCCUCCGUGCCGCAGUUAACACAAUAAGUAUUCCACCUGGGGAGUACGGCCGCAAGGUUGAAACUCAAAUGAAUUGACGGGG